rnacentral:rRNA from 1 species
AGUGAACGUUGGCGGCGUGGAUUAGGCAUGCAAGUCGAGCGAGAACCGUAGCAAUACGGGGACAGCGGCGAAAGGGACAGUAAUGUGUAGGUACCUACCUCCGGGUUCGGGAUAGCUGCGGGAAACUGCAGGUAAUACCGAAUAACGUCUCCGGACCAAAGGUGUGAUUCCACCUGGAGAGGGGCCUGCAUCCUAUUAGCUAGUUGGGGAGGUAACGGCUCACCAAGGCGACGAAGGGUAGCGGGUGUGAGAGCACGACCCGCGUCAUUGGGACUGAGACACUGCGCAGACCCCUACGGGUGGAUGCAGGCGAGGUUCCUCGGCAAUGGGCGCAAGCCUGACCGGGCGACGCCGCGUGCGGGAUGAAGGCCUUCGGGUUGUAAACCGCUGUCGUAGAGGAGGAAAUGCAGGGGGGGUUCUCCCCUCUGUUUGACCUAUUCUAGGAGGAAGGACGGGCUAAGUUCGUGCCAGCAGCCGCCGUAACAC